UCCUGGAAUGGUCACCUCAAAGUCCACCUGGACGCGCGUGUGACAGGACGGGAGACAGAGUCAGAUCAGAGGACUGGUGCAAAGAAGAGGAAGAGUCAUAAACCAGUUAUAAUGUCAAGAAGACGUACAACAUGGGGGCUCAACAACCAGAAGGUGGAGAGAAGCAGCCAGGACAGAACCCGCACCUUCUCAUUCCCGAUGGGCAGAGCCAGCACUGUGUAGAUGUUCUUCUUCCCAUCAUACACUGGUUUUCUGUCACCAAAGAGCUGUGGCUUGAAGUGUUGAACCAUGUACUCUACUACCUCCCUGUGGAGCAGAGAAAUCAUUCAGCGCAGGUGAACGGUUCAUGGCGUCACGUGCCAAGCCUCCUACUAUCUGCCCUGUGUGUCAUUUCCAGCAUGUUUAUCGGCCCCGCAAGUCUGGCCAGGAUGAGUGGUUGGAAGAUGCUGGAUGGUAUUCAUCAGUGGUUCUGACGUCUUCGCAAUUCAACAGGUGUCGAAACUGAACCUGGAAGCAGCCUGUCUCACAGUAUAGGCUUCUGCCAGCAGAAUCAGCAUUAAACCAGGAUUUAACAAUGCAGAUUUGUAAAAAAUUAUAGAGUGGUCUCUCAUUUUUUUCCCAGAGCUGUAUAUGAAAAUGCAUGGCUUCUGCAAAAUGUUACUGCACGCACCAUUUCCAGCGUAACAGAUAUUUCGGAACAAAAACCAAAGUAUUUCUAUAAAACCAGUCAAAGCUGUUAGGUGACCUCUACUCAGAU